UACAGAGGGGGCAAGCGUUGUUCGGAAUUACUGGGCGUAAAGGGCGCGUAGGCGGCCUGUUAAGUCGGACGUGAAAUCCCUCGGCUCAACCGGGGAACUGCGUCCGAUACUGGCGGGCUUGAAUUCGGGAGAGGGAUGUGGAAUUCCAGGUGUAGCGGUGAAAUGCGCAGAUAUCGGGAGGAACACCAGUGGCGAAGGCGGAACUCUGGGCCGGAACUGACGCUGAGGAGCGAAAGCGUGGGGAGUGAACAGG
rnacentral:rRNA from 1 species